rnacentral:piRNA from 1 species
UCAAAAUCAAAGAUAUGCGGC